AGAGGGGCGGCCGUUCGUCCGUCCCCUGUGCGGAGUGCGCCCCGCCUCCGCCUCUCUGAGGAGGGGCCGUGAGGCACAGCUCCGGGCGCGCAGCCAGAGCCGGCCGGCGGCACUGGGAGACUGCAGGCCCUGAGUUGGGCAGCGCGCCCAGCGCCGAGGAACUCCCGUAUAGAAGGAGCUGCGGAGCCACAGCUGCCCCACGGGACGCGGAUGAGGUAUGGAGCACUGUGAGGAAGGAGGAGAGCCCCACGGUGCCUCAGUUCCCCCAGCACUGAGCCCGUGCCCACCAGGGGGCUGCAGCCCCACACUUGCCUGCAGCCCCGCAGCUGCCCCUCAGGACGGUGGAUGAGUGGUAAAUCCAGGACCUGCCUUCGGCAAACGCCGGCCGCUCCCCGGCGCUCCCGAAGCCGCCCCGCCGGCCGCAGAGGAAGGGAAUGAGAAUCGGCCCCGCCGCCGUGGGAGAGGGGACGGGACCCCCCCGGGCAGCCCCGCGCUGGGCCGCGUAAAGUGCAUGGUUUGCUUUUAUUUUUUUUUUCUUUCUUUCAUU
rnacentral:lncRNA from 7 species